GGAAUAUUGGACAAUGGGCGAAAGCCUGAUCCAGCCAUGCCGCGUGUGUGAAGAAGGUCUUCGGAUUGUAAAGCACUUUAAGUUGGGAGGAAGGGUAGUAACUUAAUACGUUGCUACUUUGACGUUACCGACAGAAUAAGCACCGGCUAACUUCGUGCCAGCAGCCGCGGUAAUACGAAGGGUGCAAGCGUUAAUCGGAAUUACUGGGCGUAAAGCGCGCGUAGGUGGUUCAGUAAGUUGAAUGUGAAAUCCCCGGGCUCAACCUGGGAACUGCAUCCAAAACUGCUGAGCUAGAGUACGGUAGAGGGUAGUGGAAUUUCCUGUGUAGCGGUGAAAUGCGUAGAUAUAGGAAGGAACACCAGUGGCGAAGGCGACUACCUGGACUGGUACUGACACUGAGGCGCGAAAGCGUGGGGAGCAAACAGGAUUAGAUACCCUGG
rnacentral:rRNA from 1 species